CGCUGGCGGAAUGCUUUACACAUGCAAGUCGAGCGGCAGCGCGGGGCAACCUGGCGGCGAGCGGCGAACGGGUGAGUAAUGCAUCGGAACAUGUCCAUUCGUGGGGGAUAGCCCGGCGAAAGCCGGAUUAAUACCGCAUACGCCCGAGAGGGGAAAGGCGGGGACCGCAAGGCCUGGCGCGAAUGGGUCGGCCGAUGCCCGAUUAGCUAGUUGGCGGGGUAAUGGCCCACCAAGGCGAUGAUCGGUAGCUGGUCUGAGAGGAUGAUCAGCCACACUGGGACUGAGACACGGCCCAGACUCCUACGGGAGGCAGCAGUGGGGAAUUUUGGACAAUGGGCGCAAGCCUGAUGCAGCAACGCCGCGUGCGGGAAGAAGGCCCUCGGGUUGUAAACCGCUUUCAGAAGGAACGAAACUGACGGUACUUUCAGAAGAAGGUGCGGCCAACUACGUGCCAGCAGCCGCGGUGACACGUAGGCACCAAGCGUUGUCCGGAUUUAUUGGGCGUAAAGAGCUCGUAGGCGGUUCAGUAAGUCGGGUGUGAAAACUUUGGGCUUAACCCAAAGCGUGCAUCCGAUACUGCUGUGACUUGAGUUCGGUAGGGGAGUGGGGAAUUCCUAGUGUAGCGGUGAAAUGCGCAGAUAUUAGGAGGAACACCGGUGGCGAAGGCGCCACUCUGGGCCGAAACUGACGCUGAGGAGCGAAAGCAU
rnacentral:rRNA from 1 species